rnacentral:rRNA from 1 species
GGGGCUAGCGGGACCGUCUAUACUAGACAGUCGAGCGAUGAUUAAAGAUAGCUUGCUAUUUUUAUGAAGAGCGGCGAACGGGUGAGUAACGCGUGGGAAAUCUGCCGAGUAGCGGGGGACAACGUUUGGAAACGAACGCUAAUACCGCAUAACAAUGAGAAUCGCAUGAUUCUUAUUUGAAAGAAGCAAUUGCUUCACUACUUGAUGAUCCCGCGUUGUAUUAGCUAGUUGGUAGUGUAAAGGACUACCAAGGCGAUGAUACAUAGCCGACCUGAGAGGGUGAUCGGCCACACUGGGACUGAGACACGGCCCAGACUCCUACGGGAGGCAGCAGUAGGGAAUCUUCGGCAAUGGGGGCAACCCUGACCGAGCAACGCCGCGUGAGUGAAGAAGGUUUUCGGAUCGUAAAACUCUGUUGUUAGAGAAGAACGUUAAGUAGAGUGGAAAAUUACUUAAGUGACGGUAUCUAACCAGAAAGGGACGGCUAACUACGUGCCAGCAGCCGCGGUAAUACGUAGGUCCCAAGCGUUGUCCGGAUUUAUUGGGCGUAAAGCGAGCGCAGGUGGUUUCUUAAGUCUGAUGUAAAAGGCAGUGGCUCAACCAUUGUGUGCAUUGGAAACUGGGAGACUUGAGUGCAGGAGAGGAGAGUGGAAUUCCAUGUGUAGCGGUGAAAUGCGUAGAUAUAUGGAGGAACACCGGAGGCGAAAGCGGCUCUCUGGCCUGUAACUGACACUGAGGCUCGAAAGCGUGGGGAGCAAACAGGAUUAGAUACCCUGGUAGUCCACGCCGUAAACGAUGAGUGCUAGCUGUAGGGAGCUAUUAGUUCUCUGUAGCGCAGCUAACGCAUUAAGCACUCCGCCUGGGGAGUACGACCGCAAGGUUGAAACUCAAAGGAAUUGACGGGGGCCCGCACAGCGGGGGAGCAUGUGGUUAAUUCGAAGCACGCGAAAACCUUACCAGGCUUGACAUAC